GUAGUUUGUCGACUGCCUCGAGCCCUGAUCCGGAUGCUGGGGCGCGGGGGAGCUGAAGGGAUCCGCGCUCCCAGACCGCCGGUCCGGCUGGGGAGGGGGCGCCGUGCGUCCUGGGCGCGUCCCCUGAGGCGGAGGACGGUCGUCCGGCGGGAGGACGCGUCCAGGGGGAGCGCCGCAGGUCCGAAAAGAUAGCGGGAGUCGAGGAUGAAGGAAAUGGAGGGGAUGGAGGGGAGUUCCCCCCGGAGGUGGGACCGCGCCGGAGCCCAGAGUUGGAGCCUGACAGGGUGGAAGGCGGCGGGGACUUCGGGGUGACAGGCCGGGACCCCAGGCGUGGCUCGAUCACUCACCCUAGCUGGUCUCCGUCGAGCCACGGCGGCGCCGGGGAGGCGGGUCGGGCCUGCCUCGGAGCCUGUCCCCGGCCGCUCUGGCCGCGCUGAUGGGAUUCCCAGAAGCCCCAGGACGCCGCGGUGGUGUCGGGUCCGUUUCCGCCCCACCAGGCCGUAAACGCCCUGCUGGCGGGACACGGAUUCACGCGUUGCCCUUAGCGAGCGCUUGGUGAGCGCCCACUGUGUGCGCUGCGCAGUGCUGGGGGCCCAGUGGGGACACAGAGCCCCCGGACCUGCCCUCCCGAUGCUUGCAGCCCAGGGAGAUUUAUACUUUGUUUUAGUCCCUUCUGCCUCCCCAGUGCCCUAGAAAAGCUCGUGCACACAGUAGGUGAAUGCGGGUUGAAUAAAUGAGUAAUCGAGACAGAUUGUGAUUUUGUUGUUGUUGUGUUAUAUUUUGUUUUGUUUUGAGACGGAGUUUCGCUCUUUCGCCCAGGCUGGAGUGCAGUGGCACGAUCUAGGCUCACCGCAACCUCCGUCCCCUGGGUUCAAGCUAUUCUCGGCCUCCCAAAGUGCCCGGCCUCUGUUUUUUUAAGCCUUAACAUGUGUUCUAGUAUCUUGGCGGUACUACCCAUAAUAUUUACUUCAACGUAUUUUUUUUUUUUAUAAUUUAUCGGCCAGGCGCAGUGGCUCACACCUGUAAUCCCAACACUUUGGGAGGCCGAGGAGGGUAGAUCACCUGAGGUCAGGAGUUCGAGACCAGCCUGGCCAACAUGGUGAAACCCCUUCUCUACUAAUAAUACAAAACUUAGCUGGGUGUGGUGGUGCACGCCUGUAAUCCCAGCUGCUUGGGAGGCUGAGGCAGGAGAAUCGCUUGAAUCCGGAAGGCAGAGGUUGCAGUGAGCCGAGAUCACACCAUUGCACUCCAGCCUGGGCGACAAGAGGGAAACUCUGUCUCAAAAAUAGUAAUAAUAAUAAUAAUUUAUCCAGCCUGGGCAACAUAGCGAGACCCUGUCCAAACAAAAAUUAGCCCAGCAUGGUGGUGUGUGCUUGUACUCCCAGCUACUUGGGAGGCUGAGGCAGGAGGAUCGCUUGAGUCCAGGAAGUCGAGGUUGUAGUUCCCCAUAGUCAUGCCACUGCACUCCAGUCUGGGAGACAGCAAGACCCUGUCUCAAAAAAAAAAAGAAGAAGAAGAAAUUAAUUUUGAGAGACCACAGAGGGUAAGGGCCCUGACUGAAACCAGUCAGCCCCUGGUUCAUAUCCUGCCUUUGCCACUUUCUUGCUGUGUGACAGUGGACAAAUUACCUCACCUCUGUGUGUCCUCAUCUUUAACAUGCUGAUAAUAAUAGGCCUCAUUUCAUAGGGUCAUGAGGAAGAAUGAGCUAGGGAGAGCUGCACCUGAGAGGAAGUGCCAUAUAAAUGCUGGCCGUUAUCAUUAGUAAGUAAACAGGAAGUUAUCAGUUCCACAAGUGAAUACCUUAUGCAAUGUCCCAAACAUAAAAGCAUGAUAGAUCUAUAACUUAGUACAGUGGUGUUCACCGCAAUGCUAUUUACAAUAGCAAAGACAUGGAAUCAACUCAGGUGCCCACCAACAGUGGAUUGGAUAAAGAAAAUGUGAUAAAUGUACACCAUGGAAUACUAUGCAGUCAUAAAAAAGAAUGAAGCCUGGUGCGGUGGCUCACACCUGUAAUUCCAGCACUUUGGGAGGCCGAGGCAGGUGGAUCACUUGAGGUCAGGAGUUGGAGACCAGCCUGGCCAGCAAAGGGAAACCCCAUCUCUACUGAAAAUACAAAAAUUAUUUGGGUGUGGUGGCAGGCACCUGUAGUCCCAGCUACUCGGGAGGCUGAGGCAAGGGAAUUACUUGAGCCUGGGAGGCGGAGGUUGCAGUGAGCCGAGAUAGCGCCGUUGCACUCCAGGCUGGGCAACAGAGCAAGACUCUGUCUCAAAAAUAAAUAAAUAAAUAAAUAAUGAAAUAAUGUCCUUUGCAGCAACACAGAUGCAGCUGGAGGUCAUUAUCCUAAGCAAACUGACACAGGAACAGAUAACCAAAUACCUCAUCUUCUCACUUAUAAGUGGGAGGUAAACAUUGGGUAUGCAUGGACAUGAAGAUGGGACAGAUAAACACUGGGGACUACCAGAGUGGGGAGGUAGGGAUAGGAGACAAAUGUUGAAAAACUAACUUUCGGGGGCGGGCAUGGUGGCUCAUGCCUGUAAUCCCAGCCCUUUGGGAGGCCGAGGCAGGAGGAACACGAGAUCAGGAGUUCAAGACCAGCCUCGCCAACAUAGUGAAACCCUGUCUCUACUAAAAAUACAAAACUUAGCCAGGCAUGGUGGCAUAUGCCUGUAGUCCCAGCUACUUGGGAGGCUGAAGUGGGAGAAUCGCUUGAACC
rnacentral:lncRNA from 1 species